rnacentral:rRNA from 1 species
GAUGAACCUACUAGACCCGCUUAACACAUGCAAGUCGAGGGGCAGCAUGGUUUUAGCUUGCUAAGGCCGAUGGCGACCGGCGCACGGGUGAGUAACACGUAUCCAACCUGCCGUCUACUCUUGGACAGCCUUCUGAAAGGAAGAUUAAUACAAGAUGGCAUCAUGAGUCCGCAUGUUCACAUGAUUAAAGGUAUUCCGGUAGACGAUGGGGAUGCGUUCCAUUAGAUAGUAGGCGGGGUAACGGCCCACCUAGUCUUCGAUGGAUAGGGGUUCUGAGAGGAAGGUCCCCCACAUUGGAACUGAGACACGGUCCAAACUCCUACGGGAGGCAGCAGUGAGGAAUAUUGGUCAAUGGACGAGAGCCUGAACCAGCCAAGUAGCGUGAAGGAUGACUGCCCUAUGGGUUGUAAACUUCUUUUAUAAAGGAAUAAAGUCGGGUAUGGAUACCCGUUUGCAUGUACUUUAUGAAUAAGGAUCGGCUAACUCCGUGCCAGCAGCCGCGGUAAUACGGAGGAUCCGAGCGUUAUCCGGAUUUAUUGGGUUUAAAGGGAGCGUAGAUGGAUGUUUAAGUCAGUUGUGAAAGUUUGCGGCUCAACCGUAAAAUUGCAGUUGAUACUGGAUAUCUUGAGUGCAGUUGAGGCAGGCGGAAUUCGUGGUGUAGCGGUGAAAUGCUUAGAUAUCACGAAGAACUCCGAUUGCGAAGGCAGCCUGCUAAGCUGCAACUGACAUUGAGGCUCGAAAGUGUGGGUAUCAAACAGGAUUAGAUACCCUGGUAGUCCACACGGUAAACGAUGAAUACUCGCUGUUUGCGAUAUACAGCAAGCGGCCAAGCGAAAGCGUUAAGUAUUCCACCUGGGGAGUACGCCGGCAACGGUGAAACUCAAGGGAAUUGACGGGGGCCCGCACAAGCGGAGGAACAUGUGGUUUAAUUCGAUGAUACGCGAGGAACCUUACCCGGGCUUAAAUUGCAGAUGAAUUACGGUGAAAGCCGUAAGCCGCAAGGCAUCUGUGAAGGUGCUGCAUGGUUGUCGUCAGCUCGUGCCGUGAGGUGUCGGCUUAAGUGCCAUAACGAGCGCAACCCUUGUUGUCAGUUACUAACAGGUUCUGCUGAGGACUCUGACGAGACUGCCAUCGUAAGAUGUGAGGAAGGUGGGGAUGACGUCAAAUCAGCACGGCCCUUACGUCCGGGGCUACACACGUGUUACAAUGGGGGGUACAGAGGGCCGCUACCACGCGAGUGGAUGCCAAUCCCCAAAACCUCUCUCAGUUCGGACUGGAGUCUGCAACCCGACUCCACGAAGCUGGAUUCGCUAGUAAUCGCGCAUCAGCCACGGCGCGGUGAAUACGUUCCCGGGCCUUGUACACACCGCCCGUCAAGCCAUGGGAGCCGGGGGUACCUGAAGUGCGUAACCGCGAGGAGCGCCCUAGGGUAAAACUGGUGACUGGGGCUAAGUA